rnacentral:sRNA from 1 species
GUUUUAAAUAUUAUAAAUAUUUAAACUUUAAAAUAAUUAAUAAGAAAUUUAAAAAUUAUAAACAUUGUAAGGGUAAAAUUGAUAGUUAAUUGAGAUUGUAAGGGUAAAAUUGGAAUUUUAUUUUUGUUGUGAGAUCGUUAGUAUGAAAAUAACAACAUUUA